GAGAUUCGAAGAGCUGACACUUGUAGCGUGACAGGUGAACCUUGCCCCCGAACGGGCUGUCGGACUUCAAGCUAGGUCACAUGACUAGUCAGUCCUUAGGGAGCCGCCAUCUUGACAUUACUGCCGACACCGGUGAGCGUUGGAAGGCAGAGGCCCCAUACAGGGUAGAGAUUUCUGGAAGUUCCAACCAAGCACCAGUAGGUGGGAUGCUGCCGGAAUUAGAGGUUCUGAAUGGAGCAUUCUAAGGGGGAAUUUUUCCAAUUUCAAAGUUAUUGGCACCACCAUCCAUUAAGUCUCCCAAACCACAAAGAAUCCUGUUGCAGCCGCUAUGGGGUUCUCCCAGCUUUCAAUAUCCGUCCAAUCCUAACCGCUACCAGACUGGCUUCCCUUUCCUAUCAGGUAAAGUCUCAAAAUUCCUUACAGUGAUCUUAGACACCCCAAGACCUACUAUGCGAAUUUUGUUGCCUGGCAUCCAGACUGUGUAUAUGUAGUCUUUCCUCAAUCAAGUCUGUGCAACCCUCCCCAUCUCCUACAGCGGCCUUUCUGGUCCGGAGACCAAUGGGCCUACCUCCUCAGUAACUUAACUGUUCCGUACUGAAUUUCCUAAAUAGGUGGUGAGUACCUGCAGAUAAGAGACUGAAUCUUAUUUAUGUUUGUAUCUCCACUGCAGGAUGCCUAGUACGUGUUAAUAAUACUGGGUAUUUGUUGAUUGAAAGAUGCAUUGUUUGGGGAUCUAGGUGCCACCUCUUCAUCUUUUGCAAUUUCCCAGGCUCCAAGUCCCCUUUUAAGCCCCAGAGGAAUUUCUUGGGGCAGGUUCCCACCACACUGCUGCACUCUAAGAUAUCAAUAACACCUGGCCCUGGAGAAGGAAAGGUUUCCACAUUUGAGUAGCGAUCCUACACACUUAUUAAAAUGUAAAGAAUGGUGGUGCUAAGUUUACAAGAAUUUUUUUAUGGGGAGACCAAAACUACAGGCAGGUUUGAGAGUCAGGUUCACAAGAACCCAACCCAAAAGUUAAACAAGUAUGAUUGGAGCAUCAGAAUCUGGACAAGAGAAGAUCCAAAAAGUAAGAAGCACUCAUUAUACCCCUUUUUCCAUGGUCCACUUUUUCUCCCACUUCCUUACCUCAGGAACUGAGUUACUUUGAGCAGAAUCACAGUCACUUAAAUUUCUUGUGCAAUUUUCAUCAGCCAUCUCAGCUUCAGUGAUCUAGGAAAACUAAAGUUGAGCACGAAAGACAAGCUCUAAAUGAGUUCUCUGGAAGGAGGAGUGUCUUUUAUACUGAUCCUAACCUAAUCCAAUUCUGAGUGCUUCACUGUUGCAUAAUUUAAGCAAGACUACUAAGGGAAAUGGGAUUUUUUUCAAAAUGCCUUUGAAUCCUGUUAAGUACUUGAUUUUGUAGCAGGCACUAUUCUUUGUAUAAUCUCAUUGAAUUCUCACAAUUCUGUGAAAUGUAAAUAUUUCCACAAACAAUAACCUUUCUAAGUAAAGAAGAAAAAGGGCUGAAGAAGUAAAGUAACUUGUCAGUGUCAUAAAGCUAAUUUAUAGUGUGCAGGGAACUCGAAAUCAGCUUUCAAAGCUUAGAUCAAAAUUAAUGCCAGCAGAGCAAGAUGGUGUAUGCCUAUAAUCCCAUAGUGCACACCUAUAAUCCCAUAAUACACGCCUAUAAUCCCAGCAGCUCAGGAGGCUGAAGCAGGAGGAUCUUGUGUUCAAAGCCAGCCUCAGCAAUUUAGCAAGGCCCUAAGCAACUUAGUGAGACCCUGUCUCUAAAUAAAAUACAAAAUAGGGCUGGGGAUGUGGCUCAGUGGUUGUUGAACGCCCCUGAGUACAAUCCCCGGUACCAAAAAAAAAAAUUAAUGCCAAAAACUGUGGUGUACUCCUGUAAUCCCAGAGGCACAGGAGGGUCUCAAAUUCAAGCCCAGCCUGAUCAGCCUAGUGAGGAAUUUAGGGAGACCCUGUCUCAAAAAAAAAAAAAAAAAAAGUACUGGGAAUAUAGCUCAGUGGUAAGCACUGCUGAAUUCAAUCCCCAGUAACGACUAAACAAAAUAAAAAACUACUAUGUCUGAUUUAAUACAAAAAAUUAGAUUAUGAUAUUAUAUUGAAAACUGGAAAAGGUAUAAAUCCCAAUAAUGCUUAAAUUAAACAUUAUUACAUAAUUAUUACAUAAUUAUAUCCAAAGAUUAUUUUGUUUCUAAUAAAAGGUCUGUACAUUAUGUGUGUAACAUGCAAAAUGAUGUCAGGUCAAAGUAGUAGAAGAUAAAAUUGUAUAUAAACUAUGAUUACAAAUGUAUGUAUAUCUGAAAGUUUAAAAAAUUACAAUAAAAAAAACUUCAACAUGGGAGAAAAAGAAACAAAAACCAAUGCCAUCUUUUGAUUCUUUAUCAAUAUGCAAGAAAAACUAUAAUAAAUAUUGAGAUUUGCCUGGUGUGAUAGCACAUGCCUAUAAUUCCAGCAAUUUGGGAGGCCAAGACAGGAAGAUCAAGUUUGAGGCCAGCCUCAGCCACUUAGUGAGACUCUCAGCAAUUUAGUGAGACUCUGUCUCAAAAUAUAAAAAGGGCUGGGGAUGAGGGCUGGGAUUGUGGUUCAGCGAUAGAGCGUUUUCCUAGCACAUGUUAGGCCCUGGAUUCGAUCCUCAGCAACACAUAAAAACAAACAAAUAAAUAAAUAAAAUAAAGGUAUUGUGUCCAACUACAACUAGAAAUAAAUAUUAAAAAAGAAAGAAAGAAAAGGCUGGGAAUGUAGCUAGGUGGUAAAGUGCCCCUGAAUUAGAUCCCCAGCACCAAAAAAAAAAAAACACAAGUUGAGAUUCUUAACCCAUAAUUCUAUUCAUUUUCUUUUCUUUUUUUGGUACCAGGGAUUGAACCCAGGGGUGCUUAAUCACUAAGCCAAAUCCCCAGCCCUUUUUAUUUUUUAUUUAGAGAUGGGGUCUCACUGAGUUGCUUAGGGACUCACUAAGUUGCUGAGGCUAGCUUUGAACUUGUGAUCCUCCUGCCUCAGCCUCCCAAGCCACUGGGAUUACAGGCAUGUACCACCACACCGGAACAUAAUUCUAUUUCUUAUAAUUGGUUCUUAAGACGUAAUCAAAAGGUGAAUAAACAAUUGUGAAUUGUUAUGGUCUGGAUAUGAGGUGUCCUCCCAAAAGCUCUGUGGUAGGCAAUGUAGGAAUGUUCAGAGGUGAAAUGAUUAGAUCAUGAAAACUAACUUCAUCAGUAGAGUAAUCAUUUGAUGAAUAAAUAAUUUAAAUGGACCACUGAGUGGUAACUAUAGGCAGUAGGGUGUGGCUAAAGGAAAUAGGUCACUUGGGGUUUGAGACUGUGAGUCCAAAAUAAACUUUUUCUCUUCUCAGUUGUUUUUGUUUGAUAUUUUGGUCAAAGCAAAAGGAAAAACUGAUUAACAUAUGAACAAAGAUGUUUAUCAGAGUAAAAAAAAACAUAAAAAAAUAAACUACUUAAAAUGUCCUAGUGGGAAUAAAAUUAUUAUACACACACAUAUGUAAUUUUAUAUAGUCAUUAGGCCUUGAAAAUGUUUUAAUGACAAGGAAAAAUGCUUGCAAUAUAAUAGUAAGCAGAAUUAUAUACAAAAUUAUAUGUGCAGUAUGAUCACAAAACCACAGAUAAGAGACUGGAAAGAAAUAAACCAAAAUGUUAGUAGUAGUUCUCUCUGGUAGUAGAAUUAUGAUUAAUUUUCUUCGUUUUGUUUUAUUUUUUUGGAACCAAGGAUUGAACCCAGCAGCACUCACCCACUGAGCCACAUCCCCAGCUCUUUUCUUCAUUUAUUUUGAGACGAGGUCUUGCUAAGUUGCUUAGAGCCUUGUUCAAUUGCUGCGGCUGUCUUUGAAUUUGUGACUUUCCUGCCACUAGGAUUACAUGCAUGCAUCGCCACACCCAGCUAAUUUUCUGCUUUAUAAUUUUCCGUUAUGAUUUUUCAAAAUUAACACAUAAUUUUAAAAAAUUGCUCCAACUUGCACUCUUUUUCUAAUAAGCAUGAUUACUUUAUCAAAGAAACAAACACAUUGAAAAGGAUAUUUGAGGGCUGGAGUUGUGGCUCAAUGGUAGAGUGCUUGCCUAGCAUGUGUGAGGAACUGGGUUCAAUUCUCAGCACCACCUAUAAAUAAAUGUAUAAAAUAAAGGUCCAUCAACAACUAAAAACAUGUGUAUGAAAAAAUCAAUUUAAAAAAAGGAUAUUUGAAUGUGAUUUCUCUUUCCCUAUGAGAUUCUAAGUGGUAAAAGGGAUAUCUUAAUUAUAUUUGUAUUCCCUUUGCCUAUCAUUCUGUACUAUAUAAAUGUUAACUGAAUGAAUGAACCUAUUUAAUAUUUUGCCUCAUGUUGAUGAAGAGACUAUCAAGGAGUUUUUCUCUGAAAUAAAUUUUUAAGAAUUCAUAUGUAAUGUUAAGAGUUUCAUCAUUAUGAGCAUUCUUCUCCUUAAGUUAUAAGCUAUAAAUAAAGGAUGAUAGUUUUGGAAAAAACUGAAAUUCCAGUGCCCCAUCCAGAAGAGGGGGAAAAAAAUGUGUUAAUAGAAGGAGAGGUCAGUGGAGUUGAGAAAAGGAUAAUUAAAUGGUAAAAAUGGGUGAAGAUAUCUCUAGUUCUGUUCAAAAGGGAAAAGUUUUGUCAGUAGAUAACAUAAAUAUUUGGUUUCUGGGUAGUCUCAUACCUACUUUUAAUAUUUGCUUUGAAAUUUUCACAGACUAUAAUAAUCUAUGAUCUAGAAUAACAUUGUUUAAUAUGGUAGUCACUAGUCAUAUGUGGCUAUGGAGCAAUUGAAAUGUGUAGGUGAGAUGUGCUGAAAAUGUAAACUAUACCAAAAUAUUAUAACUUUGUAUGAAAAAGAGUAUAUGAAAUAACUUAUUAAUAGUUAUUUAAUAUUAAUAUUGGAAUUAUAAUAUUUUUAAUACAUGGGCUAAAUAAAAUACUAUUACAAUUA